CCCAAAGAGACCCCCUUAAUAAGAACGAGUAGAGUAGCUUAGACCAUGUUAUUAAGCCUUUACAUGUACAAGAAGAAAGCAUGAUCAUCCAUUUGAAUUAGUGAGAGACUGAAAAAACAUGCGUGUAACGAUGAAUCAACUUUCGUUAAAACACGCUUCAUGGCAUUACAAUGACUGGUAUAAAAUGUGUAUCCUGGAGACAAAAGUCAUACAACAAGCUAAGCAAUUAAGGUAUGUUGAGUCAUUUGAGCGUGCCAAUAUUGUUUUAAAUCAGUGACGCAAAUUAUCAGGCAGGCCAUCUAGUGGUGAGUUUACUCGU
rnacentral:lncRNA from 1 species